GUCGAGGCUAGAGUCACGCUUGGGUCCUGGUUAUUGCCUUGGUGCGCUAGAGUCCUCGAAGAGUAAGUGCUGACCUUAUUCACUGGCUGUGCGUCUUGUGGCACUGUCAGUCACCAGGUUAGCGACAUGC
ensembl:snoRNA